rnacentral:rRNA from 1 species
UGCCCCGGGUGCGUCGCAGCCCCGGACCAAGGCGCCCGCCGGAGGACCAACCAAAACUCUUUUGUAUACCCCCUCGCGGGUUUUUAUAUAUCUGAGCCAUCUCGGCGCCUCUCGUAGGCGUUUCGAAAAUGAAUCAAAACUUUCAACAACGGAUCUCUUGGUUCUGGCAUCGAUGAAGAACGCAGCGAAAUGCGAUAAGUAAUGUGAAUUGCAGAAUUCAGUGAAUCAUCGAAUCUUUGAACGCACAUUGCGCCCGCCAGUAUUCUGGCGGGCAUGCCUGUCCGAGCGUCAUUUCAACCCUCGAACCCCUCCGGGGGGUCGGCGUUGGGGAUCGGCCCUUUACGGGGCCGGCCCCGAAAUACAGUGGCGGUCUCGCCGCAGCCUCUCCUGCGCAGUAGUUUGCACACUCGCAUCGGGAGCGCGGCGCGUCCAUUGCCGUUAAACACCCAACUUUCUGAAAUGUUGACCUCGGAUCAGGUAGGAAUACCCGCUGAACUUAAGCAUAUCAAUAAGCGGAGGGAAAAGAAACCAA